UCUAGGGUAAGCUAAAUUUUAAGCUGUUGGGCUCAUAACCCAAAAAUGGCCUUGCCCCCUUGAA
rnacentral:tRNA from 1 species